rnacentral:rRNA from 1 species
CGCGGCCUAUCAGCUUGUUGGUGGGGUAGUGGCCUACCAAGGCGACGACGGGUAGCCGGCCUGAGAGGGUGACCGGCCACACUGGGACUGAGACACGGCCCAGACUCCUACGGGAGGCAGCAGUGGGGAAUAUUGCGCAAUGGGCGAAAGCCUGACGCAGCGACGCCGCGUGAGGGAUGACGGCCUUCGGGUUGUAAACCUCUUUCAGUAGGGACGAAGCGCAAGUGACGGUACCUACAGAAGAAGCACCGGCCAACUACGUGCCAGCAGCCGCGGUAAUACGUAGGGUGCAAGCGUUGUCCGGAAUUAUUGGGCGUAAAGAGCUCGUAGGCGGUCUGUCGCGUCGGCUGUGAAAACCCGAGGCUCAACCUCGGGCCUGCAGUCGAUACGGGCAGACUGGAGUACUGCAGGGGAGACUGGAAUUCCUGGUGUAGCGGUGAAAUGCGCAGAUAUCAGGAGGAACACCGGUGGCGAAGGCGGGUCUCUGGGCAGUUACUGACGCUGAGGAGCGAAAGCGUGGGGAGCGAACAGGAUUAGAUACCCUGGUAGUCCACGCCGUAAACGUUGGGCGCUAGGUGUGGGGGCCAUUCCACGGUCUCCGUGCCGCAGCUAACGCAUUAAGCGCCCCGCCUGGGGAGUACGG